rnacentral:rRNA from 1 species
GAUUGACCUCGGAUCAGGUAGGGAUACCCGCUGAACUUAAGCAUAUCAAUAAGCGGAGGAAAAGAAACCAACAGGGAUUGCCUCAGUAACGGCGAGUGAAGCGGCAACAGCUCAAAUUUGAAAUCUGGCCCCUCCGGGGUCCGAGUUGUAAUUUGUAGAGGGUGUUUCGGGCGAGGCGCCGGUCUAAGUCCCUUGGAACGGGGCGUCAGAGAGGGUGAGAAUCCCGUACGCGACCGGUGGCCGAGCCUAUGUGAAACCCCUUCGACGAGUCGAGUUGUUUGGGAAUGCAGCUCAAAACGGGUGGUAAAUUUCAUCUAAAGCUAAAUACCGGCCAGAGACCGAUAGCGCACAAGUAGAGUGAUCGAAAGAUGAAAAGCACUUUGGAAAGAGAGUCAAAAAGUACGUGAAAUUGUUGAAAGGGAAGCGCUUGCAACCAGACCUGCCCGCGGGUGAUCAGCCGUCCUUCUGGGCGGUGCACUCGCCCGCGAUCAGGCCAGCAUCGGUUCGGGCGGUCGGAUAAAGGCCUCGGGAACGUGGCUCCCCUCGGGGAGUGUUAUAGCCCUUGGUGCAAUGCGGCCCGCCCGGACCGAGGACCGCGCUUCGGCUAGGAUGCUGGCGUAAUGGUUGUAAGCGGCCCGUCUUGAAACACGGACCAAGGAGUCGACCAACUAUGCGAGUGUUUGGGUGUCAAACCCACACGCGCAAUGAAAGUGAACGGAGGUGGGAACCCCUCGCGGGGCGCACCAUCGACCGAUCCAGAUGUCUUCGGAUGGAUUUGAGUACGAGCAUAGCUGGUCGGACCCGAAAGAUGAUGAACUAUGCCUGAAUAGGGUGAAGCCAGAGGAAACUCUGGUGGAGGCUCGCAGCGGUUCUGACGUGCAAAUCGAUCGUCAAAUUUGGGCAUAGGGGCGAAAGACUAAUCGAAUCAUCUAGUAGCUGGUUCCAGCC